rnacentral:lncRNA from 1 species
UUUUAAAGUACAGAAAAAAAAAAAAAAACUGAGUAUACACAUGCAGUAUAAAGCAGCCAAAAGGCAUUUCCCCGUAGUCACUUUCAGGAAAUGUUUCAAGAUGAAAAGCAAAAACACUCAAGUCCCUUGAAAUCUUGGGCUGAUUUUAUUAUUCUCAAGGCCUAGGCUGUUCUCCCCCACCAUACUUUGCUGAGCAGAAAUAAAGCACCUCCAACCAGAAGCAACUCCUCAGCCUCAAUUUUCAAUACAAUUCGCUUUUCAUUAAAAGUUCAAGUUUCUCAGGAUCUAGACGUAUAGUACGAUCAUAUUACAGUACUCGGGAAGAGCAUUUUCUUUGUUGUUGACCCUGCUAGGGAAACAGGUCUUGACUCAGCCAAAGUGGCGUUCUUGUGGGUGAUUAAUGACAGGCCUAGAUCUCGCCCCAGUGACAUCCAUCCCCACCCCCCAUCCCCUCGGUACUAAAAUCAGCCAUGUCUGAACUGGAGGAGGGGCUGCCUCCCCGCCUCAAACCACCCAGUCCCACAGUUAAUAGCUGCAACCAAUCGAUUCAGGGAGACAGACAUCGAGAUUUGGGUGAAAUGUGACCCUCUCUCGCCUAAAUUUAUGAAUAAUAUCGCCCUCUCUGAUCAUUUCCGCUGGGGCUCUCCAGACUACGGAAACACUCAAUUCCAGUCAUUCAGCCCAAAGAAAAGAUCUUCCUCUUCCCCACAAUACCCGGCAAGGAACGGCCUUGCCUCCCCACCUCCCGACUCCCCCACCCCCUUGACAUCAUGCCAUUUCUAUUGUGUCGCCGAGGCUGGAGGACCUAACUAAAAGAAAGGUGUCUACUACUUUGCUAAGAACGAGCACCAGUCCGGCACCCCCACCCCUGGGGCCGCGUUCCGCGUCCCGGGACCCCAGUUCUCUCGCCCACCCCGGCGGCCGCGGAGCCGAGUCCCACCUGUGGUGAGACGGGAAGAGACGUCGCCAAAGGGGGACGGCUCCAUUCGGAGAUACUUCUGCGGCGAGGCGGCGGC